AGUGAACGCUGGCGGUAGGCCUAACACAUGCAAGUCGAACGGCAGCACAGUAAGAGCUUGCUCUUACGGGUGGCGAGUGGCGGACGGGUGAGGAAUACAUCGGAAUCUACUUUUUCGUGGGGGAUAACGUAGGGAAACUUACGCUAAUACCGCAUAUGACCUACGGGUGAAAGAAGGGGAUCUUCGGACCUUGCGCGAUUGAAUGAGCAGAUGUCGGAUUAGCUAGUUGGCGGGGUAAAGGCCCACCAAGGCGACGAUCCGUAGCUGGACUGAGAGGAUGAUCAGCCACACUGGAACUGAGACACGGUCCAGACUCCUACGGGAGGCAGCAGUGGGGAAUAUUCGACAAUGGGCGCAAGCCUGAUCCAGCCAUACCGCGUGGGUGAAGAAGGCCUUCGGGUUGUAAAGCCCUUUUGUUGGGAAAGAAAAGCAGCAGGUUAAUACCCCGCUGUUCUGACGGUACCCAAAGAAUAAGCACCGGCUAACUUCGUG
rnacentral:rRNA from 1 species